GAUGGCGACCGGCGCACGGGUGAGUAACACGUAUCCAACCUGCCGAUGACUCGGGGAUAGCCUUUCGAAAGAAAGAUUAAUACCCGAUGGCAUUGUUCUUCCGCAUGGUGGAACUAUUAAAGAAUUUCGGUCAUCGAUGGGGAUGCGUUCCAUUAGGUUGUUGGCGGGGUAACGGCCCACCAAGCCUUCGAUGGAUAGGGGUUCUGAGAGGAAGGUCCCCCACAUUGGAACUGAGACACGGUCCAAACUCCUACGGGAGGCAGCAUG
rnacentral:rRNA from 1 species